rnacentral:rRNA from 1 species
ACGAACGCUGGCGGCGUGCUUAACACAUGCAAGUCGAACGGAAAGGCCCCUUUGGGGGUACUCGAGUGGCGAACGGGUGAGUAACACGUGAGUAACCUGCCCUUGACUUCGGGAUAACUUCAGGAAACUGGGGCUAAUACCGGAUAGGAAUCCUUGCUGCAUGGUGGGGGUUGGAAAGCUUCGGCGGUUUUGGAUGGACUCGCGGCUUAUCAGCUUGUUGGUGGGGUAGUGGCUUACCAAGGCUUUGACGGGUAGCCGGCCUGAGAGGGCGACCGGCCACAUUGGGACUGAGAUACGGCCCAGACUCCUACGGGAGGCAGCAGUGGGGAAUAUUGCACAAUGGGCGGAAGCCUGAUGCAGCAACGCCGCGUGCGGGAUGGCGGCCUUCGGGUUGUAAACCGCUUUCAGCAGGGGCGAAGCUUGUGGUGACGGUACCUGCAGAAGAAGCACCGGCUAACUACGUG